GAUGAACGCUAGCGGCAGGCUUAACACAUGCAAGUCGAGGGGUAUAGUUCUUCGGAAUUAGGAGACCGGCGCACGGGUGCGUAACGCGUAUGCAAUCUACCUUUCACAGAGGGAUAGCCCCAGAGAAAUUUGGAUUAAUACCUCAUAGUAUAGCAGUUUCGCAUGAAACCACUAUUAAAGUCACAACGGUGAAAGAUGAGCAUGCGUCCCAUUAGCUAGUUGGUAAGGUAACGGCUUACCAAGGCAACGAUGGGUAGGGGUCCUCGAGAGGGGAGAUCCCCCACACUGGUACUGAGA
rnacentral:rRNA from 1 species